CGGAGCAGGUAUCCAGCCAGUACUUGUGCAUUUUGCUGUAUUUCCCCGGGUUGCAGGAUAAAAACCAUUUCUACACUGGUACGUGAUUUCAUCUCCAGUUCUGUGUUUAAUCCUUAAAGGUGAGUAGUCACCAUUUGGAAUAUAAGGAUUAUCACAUGAUUUUUCUUCACAUGAAGGCAACGGACGCCAUCCAGAUUCAGUGCAUACAGCAUCUCCUCUUUCACUGUAUUCAUAACCCAUGUUACAUUUAUAUUGAAAUCGUUCAUUCUCCUUAUAAAUAAUCUUCUGAGAUAUAGGAGAUCCAUUUAUAACAUCUGGGGAUUUGCAUGAAAUUUCCACACACUUUGGUUUCUCUUUACUCCAAAAACCAUCGUCUGAACAAUGCAUUUCUUCAUCUCCUUCAAUCUUGUAGCCUGAGUUACAUACAAACCGUACUGCUUGUCCAAAAUGGUAUUCCCGAUCUGGUUCCAUUGCACUACUGACAAUUUUUCCAUUCUCUGGUGCUGUCACUGGUAAACACUUCACAACUUCACAUAUAGGAAUAUCAUUGGUCCAUCCAUCUGUGUCACAUUCACGGUAAUUAAUCUCACCUAGCAAUUGAUACCCCUCAUUACAUGUAUACACAGCUUUUACACCAUAUUCAAACACAUUUCCUCCUGUAAGGGUAAAAGUACCAAAAGGAGUAUCUCCAGGAUGUCCACA
rnacentral:lncRNA from 1 species